rnacentral:ncRNA from 1 species
GUAAAUACGUGGAAAAAAAGAGUAGUAAUAACCUUUCUUUUUAUAGAAAGUCUGUGGUAGAUGGAAACAGAUAAAAGAAAAUUAUGAACUUGCUUUUUGGAGUAUAUGGGAUAGUUCCCUUAAAGACUAAUAAAGUAAUAAAUGAAGGUGGUACCGCGUUUAUAAAACGCCCUUUUG